rnacentral:rRNA from 1 species
AGUGAACGCUGGCGGUAGGCCUAACACAUGCAAGUCGAACGGCAGCACAGUAAGAGCUUGCUCUUACGGGUGGCGAGUGGCGGACGGGCGAGGAAUACAUCGGAAUCUACUUUUUCGUGGGGGAUAACGUAGGGAAACUUACGCUAAUACCGCAUACGACCUACGGGUGAAAGCAGGGGAUCUUCGGACCUUGCGCGAUUGAAUGAGCCGAUGUCGGAUUAGCUAGUUGGCGGGGUAAAGGCCCACCAAGGCGACGAUCCGUAGCUGGUCUGAGAGGAUGAUCAGCCACACUGGAACUGAGACACGGCCCAGACUCCUACGGGAGGCAGCAGUGGGGAAUAUUGGACAAUGGGCGCAAGCCUGAUCCAGCCAUACCGCGUGGGUGAAGAAGGCCUUCGGGUUGUAAAGCCCUUUUGUUGGGAAAGAAAAGCAGCAGGUUAAUACCCCGCUGUUCUGACGGUACCCAAAGAAUAAGCACCGGCUAACUUCGUG